CACGUAGGGGCCAAGCGUUGUCCGGAUUUAUUGGGCGUAAAGAGCUCGUAGGCGGUUCGACAAGUCGGGUGUGAAAACUCCGGGCUCAACCCGGAGACGCCACCCGAUACUGUCGUGACUGGAGUCCGGUAGGGGAGUGGGGAAUUCCUGGUGUAGCGGUGAAAUGCGCAGAUAUCGGGAGGAACACCAGUGGCGAAAGCGGCUACCUGGCCCAUUCUUGACGCUGAGGCGCGAAAGCUAGGGGAGCAAACGGG
rnacentral:rRNA from 1 species